AGAAUUCCGCGAAUCAUCGAGUUUUUCAACACAUGUUGCGCCCAAGGCUCGUUCCGAGGGCAUGCCUGCCUGAGCGUCCGC
rnacentral:rRNA from 1 species